GGAAGCGUAUCCGGUCCGGUGGCCGGCCCGGUCUUCAAAACCGGCUUGUCGGGCGGUUCUGCCGUCCGGGGUGGGUUCGACUCCCACACGCUUCCGCCA
rnacentral:tRNA from 1 species